rnacentral:misc_RNA from 1 species
GGAGAUGCAGUUAAAGACUUGAUGCUUCGCUUUCUGGGUGAAAAAGCUGCAGCAAAGAGACAAGUCCUAAAUGCCGACUCAGUGGAACAAUCUUUUGUUGGAUUGAAACAGCUAAUCAGCUGCAGAAACUGGAGGGCAGCAGUGGACCUGUGCGGACGUCUCCUCACAGCCCACGGCCAGGGCUACGGCAAGAGCGGGCUGCUCACCAGCCACACGACAGAUUCACUGCAGCUCUGGUUUGUCAGGCUGGCACUACUAGUGAAGUUGGGCCUUUUCCAGAAUGCUGAGAUGGAAUUUGAACCCUUCGGAAAUCUUGAUCAGCCAGAUCUUUAUUACGAGUACUACCCGCACGUGUACCCUGGGCGCAGGGCACAGCCGUCUGCCUUCACUGGCACCUCAGCAUCUGCAGGGAGCAUCCCGGUCCCAGGA